AGAGUUUGAUCAUGGCUCAGGACGAACGCUGGCGGCGUGCCUAACACAUGCAAGUCGAACGGUCCGGCACUCAACCGACCCUCAGUCUAACUGUAGGGGAAGUUGAGUGCCGGGUAGUGGCGGACGGGUGAGUAACGCGUGGGCAACCAACCCUGUACAGUGGGAUAACACCGGGAAACCGGUGCUAAUACCGCAUGACACCUAUAUGGUGCAUACCGUAUAGGUUAAAGGAUUUAACCGGUACAGGACGGGCCCGCGUCCCAUUAGCUAGUUGGUGAGGUAACGGCCCACCAAGGCGACGAUGGGUAGCCGACCUGAGAGGGUGACCGGCCACACUGGGACUGAGACACGGCCCAGACUCCUACGGGAGGCAGCAGUGGGGAAUAUUGCGCAAUGGGGGGAACCCUGACGCAGCGACGCCGCGUGAGCGACGAAGGCCUUCGGGUCGUAAAGCUCUGUUCUUGGGGACGAAGGAAAUGACGGUACCCAAGGAGAAAGCCCCGGCUAACUACGUGCCAGCAGCCGCGGUAAUACGUAGGGGGCGAGCGUUGUCCGGAAUUACUGGGCGUAAAGGGCGUGUAGGCGGCCGCGCAAGUCAAGUGUGAAACGCCACGGCUUAACCGAGGCAUUGCACAUGAAACUGCGUGGCUUGAGUGCAGGAGAGGGAAGUGGAAUUCCUAGUGUAGCGGUGAAAUGCGUAGAUAUUAGGAGGAACACCAGUGGCGAAGGCGACUUUCUGGACUGUAACUGACGCUGAGGCGCGAAAGCGUGGGUAGCAAACAGGAUUAGAUACCCUGGUAGUCCACGCUGUAAACGAUGGGUACUAGGUGUGGGUAGUUCACUCUAUCCGUGCCGCAGCAAACGCAAUAAGUACCCCGCCUGGGGAGUACGGCCGCAAGGUUGAAACUCAAAUGAAUUGACGG
rnacentral:rRNA from 1 species